GAUGGACGCUGGCGGCGUGCCUAAUACAUGCAAGUCGAGCGAACGGACGAGAAGCUUGCUUCUCUGAUGUUAGCGGCGGACGGGUGAGUAACACGUGGAUAACCUACCUAUAAGACUGGGAUAACUUCGGGAAACCGGAGCUAAUACCGGAUAAUAUUUUGAACCGCAUGGUUCAAAAGUGAAAGACGGUCUUGCUGUCACUUAUAGAUGGAUCCGCGCUGCAUUAGCUAGUUGGUAAGGUAACGGCUUACCAAGGCAACGAUGCAUAGCCGACCUGAGAGGGUGAUCGGCCACACUGGAACUGAGACACGGUCCAGACUCCUAAGGGAGGCAGCAGUAGGGAAUCUUCCGCAGUGGGCGAAAGCAUGACGGAGCAACGCCGCGUGAGUGAUGAAGGUCUUCGGAUCGUAAAACUCUGUUAUUAGGGAAGAACAUAUGUGUAAGUAACUGUGCACAUCUUGACGGUACCGAAUCAGAAAGCCACGGCUAACUACGUG
rnacentral:rRNA from 1 species